rnacentral:tRNA from 1 species
GGUCGCAUAGCUCAGUUGGUAGAGCACUACCUUGACAUGGUAGCGGUCACAGGUUCAAGUCCUGUUGCGGCCACCA